CCACAGCAGCUGCGCUGGGUGGCCUCCCCCACCCCCGGCAAGGGCUGUCCAUCCUUCAGGUCCGGGGGCCAUCCACUCCCCCGCUCACAGCUGGAUCAUGGGCAGAUGCAGCAGAAUCAGCUUCCUGCACCAUUUCCUCUUGUCUAGACCGUACAGCGGGCUCCUCGCUGCUCUCCCUGCCCUGCCUUUGAGGUGACCGUCUGCUCCCCGCAGAGCAGCCCAAGUGAGCUUGUUCCGCCCUAGUCUCUGCUCAGAAUCCUCCUGUGAAAGCCACACUUCCAGCAUCGGCCCCAGGCCCUGUGCGAUCUUGCCCAUCCACCUCCCUCCCCUCUGCCCUCCUGUGGUUUCUCCUGGGCGCUGGCUGUUCUGCCCGGAACCUGCUGCCCCCGCAGCCCCACGUCUCAGCGAGGCCUGCCCUGGCCCCUCCCAUCACUGGUGACCACGCCCUCCUGUCCUUUACCGUUGCUCUUGCUCCAGGGCGGGACUUUUCUGAUGUGCCCUGUGAUUGGACUCAUUUUGGUUGCCAUGGUCCCUUGCCCGGCUCCCCCCGCACCUGCUCCUCAGGGUGGGGUUUGGGGGCUGGGGAUGGAUGGGGGUUCUGGUAGGCCUUGUCUCCUGUGCUCCCAGGGCCAGAGCAGUGCCUGGCACCCAGCAGGCUCUUGAUAAGCGGUUGCUGAGUGAAUGGAGGAGAUGGGCCAGGUGACACCCUGCGAGGGGUUGUGUGGGUUGGGUGCAGUGGUGGCUGUUCCAUCCCCUGGCUUGUCUUCCCUGGUCACCGGGAGAUGCUCAGUGGGGCCCUUAUCACCCCGCUUGGGUUGAACCUGACAUAUGGAGGGGCCCCGGGGCAGCUUUGCCACUGAAUGAUCUGUUGGUCCCACCGAAUGGAGUCUGACCCUUACUAAUUGUGUGUCACUGAGCAAGUCAUAUCAUCUGUCUGGCCUCAGUCUCCUCAUCUGUAAAAGGGGAAUGACAGUGGUACCUGCUUCGUGUGGGGAGGAUUCAGUGAGAACAGGCUCUAACGAGCUCAGGACAGCAGCUGGCCUCUGCGUGUCAGCCAUCAUCACCUGUGGUUACCCCUGAUGGUUCUGAUGAAGUUUUAUCACAGAAGUAGAAAUGCUGGAGCUGGGACCUAAUUGGGUUCCACGGCUUUAGUCCCCAGCUGGGACAGCUGCCCAGGGAGGGCUACGGUCCCAGCUGCAAGGAGGAGAGGUUGGCUUGGGAAUGGAACUUAGGUUCGAGUUCUGACUCAGUCACCUUCUUAUGUCCUUUGGGGAAAGGACAUCGCCAUCAUUCUGCAUCUCAAAUUCCCUGUCUGUCAAAAUGGGGCGGACAGCAUCCUCAGGCUCCCCCGGGGGGGUGAGACUCAGAUGAGACCCCGAGUGCCAGUGCUUAUUUAUUUAUUCACUUUAUUUAUAUACCAGGCAGUCUUUAAACGUGUGUCUGAUGACACAACCUCGUAAAUCAGCUAUACUUUUAUUUUAUUUAUUUAUUUAUUUGUUUUUGCCUGGGAACCUCCAUAGGCCAAGGGUGUAGACCUAAAAAGACCAAAAAAAAUGUUUUUUAAACGUAAUUGAAGGACUUAACAAAAAUACUUGAAGUUAAGAUAAAAAGGAAUCAGGGCAAGAAGAGGAAGAGUUGAAAAAACAGGCAGCGGUAAGGGAAGGUGUCCCGGAAAACUUGGCCUGAGAGGCGCUGACUUGUCUUUGAGUCUCCUGGCAGCCGGAGUGGUGAGAGAGACAUGCCCGGCUCCGGGAUUCCUGGCAGCAAGACUGUUGAGCCUUAUCACAUGGCCCCAGCAGUUAGGAGGGGGAUCCCGGGCCCUGGUGAGUCUGCCUGUGAAGGGCACAGCUGGCCAGCUGUAACUAGAUCCUGAAAACCAGCCUGGCCAGGGAGCCAUGGGACCGAGGGGUCAGGGUGACCCCAGCAGGGCCAGAGGGGGCCCUUUGCUCUAAGCAGGGCGUAUACUUGCCUCCCUGAGUGUCUCUCACCUUCCUAAGGCCUUCGUUCACUGCUGCCAGGGGAUUCAGGCUGAGCAGCAGCUCCCACCCUGCCCGCCCACCUCACAGCCAUUUCAGGCCAACAAGGGCUGGGACUGGGGGUCCCACAGAGACAGGCCCCAAGUGGGGAAAACAGUCUGCCUUGCAAGGUCUCGAAAGCCCGCCGGGGGGCCCCUCUGGAGGCUUCUGCAGUUGGCCGUGUUGCCUUGUGCCUGCUCCUUGCUGCAGCAAGAGCUCUUAUCUGCCUGCCUCUGUUGAGCCGCAGCCCAUUGGUUGCCCCUCCACUCACCCUGCUGGCCUGGCCCGCCCAGUCUCACUUUGCCAGAGCGGGGCUGGAAUCCACUCUCGGGCAAGGAGACUGGCAGACCCCUUCCGAGUGUUGCCAAGGAGCAGCCCUCCCUCCAGCCUUCCCCAAAGCCAAUGGCGAUAAGUCACACCUGCCCCAGGGCAGCUGACAUUUAGCAGAGGUCAGGCCCACCCUCGAUUGUCCUGCCUCCUACAGUCAGCUGUGCCAGCCACCUGCUGGCAGGCUCUGGGGGGUCAGCAGUUAAACUGGAGGAGAUGGGAGGUCUGGGACCUGACAGCACAAGUCCUACCUAGCCUGGAGGACUGGCACUGCGACUGCCCCUCACUAGCCUGCUCAGGACGCCUACCGAGGUGAGGCCGGGACGGGCGGGCCUCCUCUACAGAAUCAAAGGGUUGGAGGAGAUGGUCUUUCAGGUUCGUUGUACGGAGUUCCCCGGUGGUCACUGCUGUGGCUCAGGUCUCUGCCGUGCGCAGUUUCGAUCCCCGGCUUGGGAACUUCUGUCUGCCGUGGGUGCAGCUGUACAAACCUGUUGGGUCUAGCUCAAACAUUUCAUGAUGUUGUAGCUUAUGACCAUGUGGCUUGGAGAAAAGUUAUGUUGGAGUCUUCCAGCCUCAAGCUCUAAAAGUUCACCCCAGCAUCCCUACCCGUUUCACAGAUCCCGGUCUCAGCCCCUCCUGUGACUUGGUAGGUCGCCCCAACCAAGUCACUGGUCCCACUCCGCCAAAUGGGGAUAGCCUCGUGGCCGGCCCGCCUACCUUCCUGGACUGUGUGGUUAGAGCUGAAAGUACUCUCUUGCUGCACAGGUUCACUCAUGAGAUAAAGGCACAUGCGAAGAAAAUGGUGGUAUUCAGUUCAGAGUAAUGUCCCCGUUUCAGUUUCCUAGCCAGGGCCUGUAUGGUGAUGUAGGGUGUGAAUAUUGGGGGAACCUGGUCGAGGGGUGUUAAGGAACCCUCUGUACUAUGUCUGCAACUUCUGAUAAGCUACAAGUAUUCUAAAAUAGGAAGUUUAUUUAAAUUGCAAAAACCGGGAGUUCCUGCCAUGGAGCAGUGGGUUGAGAAUCUGACUGGUAGGGGCUGGGGUCACCACGGAAGUGCAGGUUCCAUCCCCAGCCCGGCUCAGUGGGUUCGAGGAUCUGGGGUUGCUGCAGCUGUGGCGUAGGUGGCAGCUGGGACUCACAUUCAGUCCCUGGCCUGGGGACUUCCAUAUGCUGCCAGCACGGCCACACAAAAUUUUUUUUUAAUUGUAAAAAAUAAUAUGCAAGGCUUCCGUUCCACAGCCACAACCUAACCGAUCAGUCCGACUGUGUAAACGAACAGAGGAUGUUUAUAUCACGACCCCUCAUGAACACGGAAUGAUUCAUUCCAAAUGACCAUGGAAUGUUAUGUGAGGGUUUUUUUGUUUUUUGGGGUUUUUUAGGACUGUACUGCAUUUGGAGCAUAUGGACGUUCCCAGGCUACGGGUCAAACUGGAGCUGCAGCUGCCAGCCUAUGCCACAGCCGCAGCAAUGCCAGAUCUGAGCCAAGUUGGUGACCUAAACCACAGCUUGCAGCAACGCCAGAUCCUUAACCACUGAGCGAGGCCAGGGCUCAAACCCACAUCCUCAUGGAUACUAGUUGGGUUUUUUACCUGCUGAGCCACAACGGGAACUCUGUUAUGUGAGAUUUUAAAGGAAAUUGUAGGUUUGAUUCUACUGAUAUGAAAAUCUCUUUAAUCUAUUGGAGGGUUUUUUUGUUUGCUUUUGUUCAUUUGGGGGUUUUUUGGCCACACCUGUGACAUUCGGAAGUUCCCAGGCCAGGGAUGGAAACUGUGCCACAGCAGUGACAAUGCCAGACCCUUAACCUGUUAGGCCACCAGGGAACUCUGGCUUUAAUCUAUUGUGUGUUUGUGUUUUAAUCUACUGUUGACAGGGGAAAAAAACCACUUGACUGGGCGUGGUGUCCAAUAUGAUAUUUAUGAAGAACUGAGAAGAGAAAAGUUGCAUUUAAAACCAGUGCUACACCUCAAGCAGAUGAACUGUUCAUGCCUGGAUGUCCAUCUACUCCCUGGCAUGGAGUAAUGAAGGGGAACGUUUACUUAAUUUUGUUCUUUAGGUUUGUUAGAAUUAAAAGUGUUCGCUUGAGGAGUUCCCUUGUGGCACACUGGGUUAAGUAUAAGGUGUUGUCACUACUGUAACUCGGGUUUGAUCCCUGGCCCAGGAACUUCCACGUGUCAUGAGUGCG
ensembl:lncRNA